AUUUUGCAGGCAGAUUGGUGGCAAGGUCUGGGUGACCAGGACCUGAGGGAGAGCACCUGUGAGAGGGGCAGCAUGGAUCCACACAUAGCUCCUCUGCCAACUGCCGCAGAACCUGGGGGUGAGCAAACCUGGGUCUCCAUCCAUGAGCAGAGGAGGUUUGGGAGGAAGAGGAGCUGGGAUCAAGGCACCAGCAGUCAGCACGGCUAUGCGCACCCCAACUGCACUAGGAAACUCAGAGACAUCAUGUAGAGAAGGCCCAGGGCAGGACCUAAGAGAGCCAUUUGUGGACUGUGGGGGAAGAGAACAAGAAGUCACCAAGAAGCAAGCACUCUCUGCGAAUCAGCACCGUGCACAUGCUGCUGGGGGGACAGCCAGAUCCUAGCCCCUUCCAGCACGUGGGCUGACAAACAAGAAGAGCCAGCCCCCUCCCCCUGCCAUAAGUGACCAGCUGAUCCGGAGAAACACAGGCUGCAACGAUAGCUAUUGAUUGAGGAGACAGUGCAAGUGAUGGGAGAUGUGACCCUGGGAAUGAAGCCACAGCCCAGAGAACACAGCUCCUGGGCUGGAAUCAUCUCCUCCACCAUGGACGGAGGGCUUGGUCACCCUCGAAUUCAUUGAUGGAGACCUAAUCUCCACCCUGAUGGACAGAGUGAGACAACUGUCACCUAUGAACCGGGAAUGGGCUCGCCAGAAUGCAAGGACC